AUGGCUAGUCAAAAACUUAAGCAAUAUUUUCUGGGUCAUCCCAUUACUGUGGUCAGUUCUGCUCCCUUAGGGGACAUUAUUCAAAACAGAGAAGCCACAGGUCGGGUCGCCAAGUGGGCCAUUGAGCUUGGACCCCAUGGUCUGAAGUAUAUGCCUCACACAGCCAUCAAGUCUCAAGCACUUGUGGAUUUCAUAAAUGAUUGGACAAAGCUGCAGAUGCCUGAGGAGAAGUCAGAUAGCACAUAUUGGACUAUUCACUUCGAUGGCUCUAGAAAGCUGGAAGGCUCAGGGGCUGGAGUUGUUUUAACUUCCCCACGAGGUGAUAAAUUUUGUUAUGUUUUAAGGUUGAUGUUCCCUUGUACUAACAAUGCAGCUGAGUAUGAAGCCUUGCUCCAUGGUCUUCGGAUGGCUAAGGAGAUGAAUCUAAGCCGGGUGAGGUGUUUUGGUGACUCAGACUUGGUGGCUCAGCAAGUUUCGGGCACUUGGGAUUCUAAGGAUCUGCUCAUGGCGGCUUAUCGCCGCGAGGUUGAUGCUAUUGCUGGUCACUUCAAAGGUUAUCAAGUGGAACAUGUUGAUCGCAAGAAAAAUGAGGCAGCUGAUGCUUUGAGCUGA
rnacentral:rRNA from 1 species